rnacentral:rRNA from 1 species
UACGUAGGUGGCAAGCGUUAUCCGGAAUUAUUGGGCGUAAAGCGCGCGCAGGCGGUUUCUUAAGUCUGAUGUGAAAGCCCACGGCUCAACCGUGGAGGGUCAUUGGAAACUGGGGUACUUGAAUGCAGAAGAGAAAAGCGGAAUUCCACGUGUAGCGGUGAAAUGCGUAGAGAUGUGGAGGAACACCAGUGGCGAAGGCGGCUUUUUGGUCUGUAACUGACGCUGAGGCGCGAAAGCGUGGGGAGCAAACAGG